rnacentral:rRNA from 1 species
CCUACGGGGGGCAGCAGUGAGGAAUAUUGGUCAAUGGACGAGAGUCUGAACCAGCCAAGUAGCGUGAAGGAUGACUGCCCUAUGGGUUGUAAACUUCUUUUAUAUGGGAAUAAAACGUCCCACGUGUGGGAUUUUGUAGGUACCAUAUGAAUAAGGAUCGGCUAACUCCGUGCCAGCAGCCGCGGUAAUACGGAGGAUUCGAGCGUUAUCCGGAUUUAGUGGGUUUAAAGGGAGCGUAGGUGGAUUGUUAAGUCAGUUGUGAAAGUUUGCGGCUCAACCGUAAAAUUGCAGUUGAAUCUGGCAGUCUUGGGUACAGUAGAGGUGGGCGGGAUUCGUAGUGGAGCGGUGAAGUGCUUAGA